rnacentral:lncRNA from 1 species
CCACGGGCGGGGUUGCACCAUCCGGCAGGGCGGGGCCCGGCCAUGGCGACCGCGGAGCCCAGCGGGCGCGCGUUGCGGUUGUCUACCCCGGGACCCCGGCCCAGCGGGGCUCGGGACCGCGCGCCGGGAGCUGCGGGGCCACCCUCCGGGCAGAUCGGUAAUAGAGCCCUCCGUCUGGGGGAGCGCACCCCCGCGGCCGUGGAAAAGCGGGGGCCAUACAUGGUGACGCGCGCACCCUCCAUUCAAGCCAAGCUGCGUCAGUGAAGUUUAACAAGGGCUAUACUGCUCUUAGCCAGAGUCCAGAUGAAAACCUGGUGUCCCUCGACUCUGACAGGCCCUUCAUGUACAUUCCAGGGCCGUUCUCUUCUGAACAAUAUCCCUUCCCAGGAUGGCUUGGUUAGAAGACUCAUAGUGAUGGGGAGCUGGGAUCCAGAUACUCCUCCGGGUAUUCAUCUGCAGAGGUGAACCAGGAUGUGAGCCGGCAGCUGCUUCAGGAUGGGUAUCACCUGGAUGAGAUUCCAGAUGACGAGGACUUGGACCUCAUCCCCCCUAAGCCCAUGGCCUCUUCAACAUGCUCCUGCUGCUGGUGCUGUCUUGGGGACUCUUCUUCCUGUACCCUCCAGUAGACAUUACCCUCCAAGGUGGGCCCUGCUCACCAUGAGGCCUACAGAGCCCUGUUGGCCACUCAUAGCUCACACAGUGCAGUGAGCACUGAAGUCACUGACCCCUAGAAAGUGACCUGCAGGUAGCCCUUACCUGUUGCUUCUCAGGCCAGAGGCCCCCAUCUGGGCUGUGGGCUGAUAGGUAGAAUUCUGUAGUUUUCCUCUGCUGUUGGAGCAGAGUUUGGAGAAGUCACUUUAAUAAGGGCAAGACAGAAAAUUCUGGUUCUUAUGGUGGGUGACAAAGGUGGCUAAGGAAAACACUUGCAGACAGCUUGAUUGGUAUUUGUCAUAGUGCUUCAGGGAGGCAAAAAGGGAGCUCUUGUGCCCAGGCUGUGCUAGAUAGUGUUGAAUGGAGGCAGAAAAUAGCACUUUAUGGUUUAUUAUAGCUGGCAAUCCAAAAAAGAAACUGUUUGAGACCAGUUCGAGAAAUUCCGUUUGCUCUAUUCUUCCUAGCUCUAAGAUGGUUUGCAGGCUUGACCUUCA